ensembl:lncRNA
CUGGAGCACAGAGCAAUGUUUCAUUACCUUCCAAUAACAUAAACCAAAGUCCUGUUAACCAGAACCAGCCAGAACUGGGGUCAAAUGCAGGUCCAAUUGUAUCUGCGACCCAGUCUCAGAAUAAUCAAAAUGCUGAACAUCAGUCUCAGGGCACAAGCAAUGAGACAUAUAAAACUAAUCAGACUUCUCAAAUGACACAGGCCAGUGUAGUCCAGCUUCAGCCCCAAUCUAGAACUGAGUUUAACUUGUCAGUUUACGCUGACUCAGUAAUAUAUAGAUUACUGUGUUCAAAUGACAGUAAACAAGCAAAUAAUCGGCAAUCAGAUGAAAUUGCUCAGCAGAACACUCGUCCAGAACAGUCCGAAGUUUGUGCAACCAAAAGGACUGACAAUCACUCAAAGGAACCUUUUUCUGAACCAAGAGAACAAUGUACAGUUGAACCGCCCAGUAAAAGAAUGAAGUAUGUUGUGUUUCAGAGAGACUGUCAGAACAAAGAAACAAUAGUGUCCAAAGACAUAAGUAAUUGUGGGGUGCAAUCUGUCCAACCUGGUACCCAUCAGACAAGUAGCAAUGAGAACAGACUUAAAGGAACGAGCCAACACAACAUAGAGUACAGUACAAACCCAGCAGACUGUCUUGAAAUGGUCUUUGCAUCACAGAAAGCUGCUCAGCAAACUCACAAGGCCAUUGCCAUCGUUCCACCCAUUUCCCACCAGAUCUCAAAAGCUGCACCAAUGGCUGAUACCAGCCCAAAAAAAGCUGACAGUCCACUGUUAAAGAUUGAUUCUGUUUGGUCACAUGUUGAAGAAUCUAACCAACAAAAAACUGUAAAUGACAAGCUGUCUGAAUCCUCCUCACAAAUGGCUCAACAGGACAACAAAAGCCUUGAAAAUGUGACUGCAGGCAACAUGGCAGACCCUGAUACAAGCUCUGCUAGCCCAGUUGAAUGUCAAAAUGAUGUGCAGCAAAGUGACUGUGAUUCAGAUGAUCCUUCAUUUGACUUGUCCAGUGUGCCAGUGAUUGAGUACACACUGGAGAAACUGAUGGAGUUAGUGAAGUCUAUAGAGAUGACAGAGUUAUCGGCCGGAUAUCCUGAGAAAUCUCAGAGCAUUUUACAAAGGAUCUUGAAACUCUACUGGAACGGGAAAGCUUCCAAUAUGUUGGAGCCUUUGAAAUCAUUUAGAGAGGCACUGCAGUUAUCCAUAGAAUAUGCAAAGGAUUAUGGGUCUGUGGUAUUUAAAAGCAUCGAAACUGAAAACCUGAAGAAGCUAGCUCAUUGCGACAUUCUCAAACAUGAGACGUAUUCAUGGUCAGAGGAGUUCAGAUCUUCUUGGUUAAAUGUUGAUGGACAGCCAGCUGAUAUUGAAAAGGUGCUUUCAGAACCACUGUUGGAUGACAUAACUGUGUAUAAGGCAACAUCACUGUCAUUUUCAGAUAAUACUGUUGUCGCUUCAGCAAGUUUAGGUGUGAAUUCCCUCACAGACAAACCUGAGGUUUCAUCCGAGGAGAAAAGUGUAAAUCCAGACACUUGCAGUCCAACAGAUCUUUUCAUACAAAAGACGGGAACUGACAGGGGGGAAGUGGCUGUGGAAAACAAUGGGCAUUCGUAUGUAGUGCUGAGAAAAGAAAGUGAGAAAGAAACAUUCAAGAAGCAAGAGGACAUCAAUCAAAACCAAAUUUUUAACAUAACACCUUUAGACAUCACACCUUCAGCUGAAAGUUCUACAGAGAAACUUACAGACCUCAGCAAUGCAAAAGAAGUAUUCAGACAAGAUCACAAGCAAACACGUGAUAAUGUUUCAGAUUCACUUUCUCUGAGUCCUGGAGACAUUGUUUCAGAUGGUGUAAAAAUCUCUGUGGUGUCUUUCUCUACUGAGACUCAUUGUAGCUCCAUGGAUACAUGGCAGGUAGAAGAUAUUUCUGAUGAUGAAAAUACAGGCAGUAAAGAGGCUCUG